AAGUCGUAACAAGGUCUCCGUUGGUGAACCAGCGGAGGGAUCAUUACAGAAAGCACACGAUGCUCUGACCCUGUGGACUUACCAGUAUGUCUCGGCGCUGAAAUGCGCCGCAGCACCAACGCUCGCAGCUCGUGUUCUCUGAAAAACACGAAACGUAAAAACUUUUGGCAACGGAUCUCUUGGCUCUG
rnacentral:misc_RNA from 1 species